UACGUAGGGGCAAGCGUUGUCCGGAAUUCAUUGGGCGUAAAGAGCGUGUAGGCGGCCAGAUAAGUCCGCUGUGAAAUCUCGAGGCUCAACUUCGAGCUGUCGGUGGAAACUGUCUGGCUAGAGUCCGGAAGAGGAGAAUGGAAUUCCUGGUGUAGGCGGUGAAAUGCGCAGAUAUCAGGAAGAACACCCGUGGCGAAGGCGGUCUCUGGGACGUACUGACGCUGAGACGACGAAGCGUGGGGAGCGAACAGG
rnacentral:rRNA from 1 species